CCAAAGAGCCAAUUGGGAGGACCUGUUAAAGCCUAGCAUCCAAUGAAAAGGAAGAAAGAGGCGGCGGCCAAUGCCCGCCCGCGAGAGGUGGAUCCGCCGUUGGGGGUGGUUUUUCCUCCUCUCUCUCUCUCAGCUGCCAAGAGGCUUAAAGGCUAGGAGCGCGAGCUUGGGACGAAAGGGACGAGGUGCGUGGGGAAAGCGUGCUCACCCAGCGCGCGCGCGCGCGCGCUCUCUCUCUCGUUUAAACGUGGGGGAAUACGUGUCAGAGCGCGGGAGAGGCUGUGGCGGCUGCCUACGAUUACCAAAGAACUCGCGCUUUCUUUACCAGAGACGUUCUAUUGGACGGGGCCUCUUGUUGUCUCGCGCCCAGCCCAGGCUGCUGCGUGUUCAGGAGACAUUAGUGCCGGCUAUGGAGAACGUGCUCUCCCUCUCUUUGGACUUCCUUGGACUAAGAUGUUAAAAGGGUGCUGAAUGGAAGGAGCCCCAAGAUCAAGAUUGUGAAAUAAUAUUGGAAAGGAAACAACCACUGUGCAGCCAGCUCAGGAUCUGGUGACCUUUGAGGAGAUGGCUUUGCGUCUCAUUGAAGAGGAAUGCGACCUACUGGAUCCAGACCAGAGAGCUCUUACAAGGAAGUCCUGGCGGAGAUUCACAAGAUGAUAACCUCUCUGGUACAACUGAGAUGGAAACCUAACCACAUCUCCGGGCUAGAAAGAGAUGGAGAAGAUGUCUUCAUCCAUGGCUUUGUAGUGGAGAUAUCCACAGGAGAUGUCUGGGGGAUCACAGCUAAAGGGGAACCAUCAGAAGUGUUACUGGAAAGAACUGAGGAGCAGAAGGAGUAAUGGAAAUUGGGGAGUCAAGAUAGAGCAGAGACAUAAGGGAAGAUGAAAGUAGAAGCUGGGGGAUGAAUCCAGUCCGCCUCAGUAUGGUGAAAAUAAAAUUAAAGGUAGUACUCAUCACCCAAAGGAAACAAGAAUGUCUUCUGAGUGCAGUAAAAUCUUAAGUUGCCAAAAAAGCCUUGAAUACACAUAUGAGAGAGAAACCAUAUAAGUGCUUGGAGUGUGGAAAGAGCUUCAGUCAGAAUAAAAAUCUUCAGGCACAUCAAAGGAUCCAUACAAGGGAAAAGCUAUAUAAAUGCUUUUGAUGUGGAAGAUGAUGUUGGGUUGAAGAUAUUUUUAGUGCAUUGUUGCAUGUUUUCCUCCCUGGGCUCCUUCUGGGAAGAAGGGUGGGAAAUAAAUGUAAUAAAUGAAUAAUAUAAUAUA